rnacentral:snoRNA from 1 species
AUCUAGUUAGUUAUAUCAAGAGUUUAAAAUUCUCCUAGCGAUGGAAGCACAUAUUCUUGUUUACUGGCAAAGCCGUUACCACUUAACUUGUAUCAGAUUCUGACUUGCACAAGUAACACUC